GACUGUGGAAUGCAGGGUAAUAAGGAUAAUUAUAUGCUCAGCUAUUUGUAAGCUUGUAAGGAUCAGCCUGUAAUCAAUAUGAAGUCCAUCAAGGUGAGAAAUCAAGAGAUCUUUGUGAGAGCCAGGUUUUCCUCUUUGAUCUUCAAACAGAAAAUUUAAAUGAGAACAUUGAGAAUUUCAAUUUUCAAUUAAAUUGCUUCUCUGAUAACAGGUGUAUGGGAAGACUUAGAAGAAGGGGUAAAAGUAAGAUGGAUGAACAAGAAAGAAGGGGAGAUCAGAAUUCCAUGGAACUUUGGGGACCAACAAACAUGACUCUCAGCCACAAAAUUCCAGAACACUGAGGUCACAGCAAAUAAAGCAGUAUGAGUUAAUGAGAACAGCUUUAGUAAAAGAGGAGGUAUCUCUCUGAGUACAUCAAGUGCUUCCCAUAUAUUAAGAAACCCCAGCUGGAUCGAUUUAAUAAUGUGAGGAUUUACACAAUUAUUACGGAGCCUUCAUUACUCACCCGGCAGCCUGUGGCUGCCACAGCACAAAGGAACAUCUCUAGCUGGCUCGAGGAACACCGCCUGCCAUUGGUGAACCCAUUUCCUGGCCAUCUGCUCCCUGCCUCAACACUUAACAGUCACCCAACUGCAACUUAGCAGCUUUGUGUACUUUGGGAAGCAGCUGCUUUAAUGAGGACUCAGAGCUUUGGAUCAAGAGAUGGGGCUGGAGUGCUAGGGAGAGGACCCAGUUUGCAGCAGGAGCUGGGAGCAAAGAGUUACGUCAUCCUACUGCACAUUACAAUCAUGUGUCUGGCUGUUUUUUUCAUCCUUAUAUCUGGAGAAACAUCUCCAAGCUCAGUAGAACAGUAGGAGAGGAGGCUUUGGUUCCCAUACCUUUUUUCUGGUGUCUGUGAGUGUGUGUGUGUGUGUGUGUGUGUGUGGUUCUCUUUAAGUGCCUCCUGUGACCAGAGGAGAUCCCUUUUAAAGAACAAUAGCAGUGCAUUUGUUGAAAAGAGGGUUGGAUCCAAGUUUCAGCUCAGUUUCAAAGACAGUAGCUGUGGGACUAUUUAAUGAUACCUUUUCCUUCAGUGAAGAUACAGGAAAAACAACAGUUGUUUUCUUUUAUCCCAUAUUCUCUUCGGCUUCAAUUCUUGCUGUGAGGUGACUUGACCUUUGAGCAUGUUUACUGUACAUUGCAAAGAGGGCCAGUGUCAUUCCUCUUCUCUAGUGGCAGUGAGGUGGCCGAGCAGCCAGAUCUUGGUCUUGGGGUCCCCAAGAACUGAACUUGCAUCUAAACUCAGACCCUUCCUAGCUGGGUCCUUCACUUCUAUGAAUGGCCUCAGUGUCCAAGCUAGGAAUGGAAUAAUGAUUCCAGUAAACAAGAACAUUUGCAAGGCCCUGCUUAUUUGGUCAUUUAUUAAGCGCCUACUCUGUGCUGUACAUCUUGAUGAGUCCUGGGAAUAAAAAUACUAAAACAAACUCCCCUACCCUCAAGAAACUUCUAGGCUACUGGAAACAUAGGAGGAGAAAUAGAAUGUCAGGAUCUAGAGAGCAGAAACCAUUGAUGAUUUUUUUUUUUUGGUUUUCAUAUUUCAGA